rnacentral:rRNA from 1 species
AUUGAACGCUGGCGGCAGGCUUAACACAUGCAAGUCGAACGAGUGGCGGACGGGUGAGUAAUGUCUGGGAAACUGCCUGAUGGAGGGGGAUAACUACUGGAAACGGUAGCUAAUACCGCAUACCAUCGGAUGUGCCCAGAUUGGAUUAGCUAGUUGGUGGGGUAAAGGCUCACCUAGGCGACGAUCCCUAGCUGGUCUGAGAGGAUGACCAGCCACACUGGAACUUAGACACGGUCCAGACUCCUACGGGAGGCAGCAGUGGUGAAUAUUGCACAAUGGGCGAAAGCCUGAUGCAGCCAUGCCGCGUGUAUGAUGAAGGCCUUCGGGUUGUAAAGUACUUUCAGCGGAGAGGCGUUACCCGCAGAAGAAGCACCGGCUAACUCCGUGCCAGCCGCCGCGGUAAUUC